rnacentral:rRNA from 1 species
GACGAACGCUGGCGACGUGCUUAACACAUGCAAGUCGAACGGAAAGGCCCUGCUUUUGUGGGGUGCUCGAGUGGCGAACGGGUGAGUAACACGUGAGUAACCUGCCCUUGACUUUGGGAUAACUUCAGGAAACUGGGGCUAAUACCGGAUAGGAGCUCCUGCUGCAUGGUGGGGUUGGAAAGUUUCGGCGGUUGGGGAUGGACUCGCGGCUUAUCAGCUUGUUGGUGGGGUAGUGGCUUACCAAGGCUUUGACGGGUAGCCGGCCUGAGAGGGUGACCGGCCACAUUGGGACUGAGAUACGGCCCAGACUCCUACGGGAGGCAGCAGUGGGGAAUAUUGCACAAUGGGCGGAAGCCUGAUGCAGCAACGCCGCGUGCGGGAUGACGGCCUUCGGGUUGUAAACCGCUUUCGCCUGUGACGAAGCGUGAGUGACGGUAAUGGGUAAAGAAGCACCGGCUAACUACGUG